AUGAACGCUGGCGGCGUGCCUAAUACAUGCAAGUCGAGCGAACAGACGAGGAGCUUGCCCCUCUGACGUUAGCGGCGGACGGGUGAGUAACACGUGGAUAACCUACCUAUAAGACUGGGAUAACUUCGGGAAACCGGAGCUAAUACCGGAUAAUAUAUUGAACCGCAUGGUUCAAUAGUGAAAGACGGUUUUGCUGUCACUUAUAGAUGGAUCCGCGCCGCAUUAGCUAGUUGGUAAGGUAACGGUUUACCAAGGCGACGAUGCGUAGCCGACCUGAGAGGGUGAUCGGCCACACUGGAACUGAGACACGGUCCAGACUCCUACGGGAGGCAGCAGUAGGGAAUCUUCCGCAAUGGGCGAAAGCCUGACGGAGCAACGCCGCGUGAGUGAUGAAGGUCUUCGGAUCGUAAAACUCUGUUAUUAGGGAAGAACAAAUGUGUAAGUAACUAUGCACGUCUUGACGGUACCUAAUCAGAAAGCCACGGCUACCUACGUG
rnacentral:rRNA from 1 species